rnacentral:tRNA from 1 species
CGGGUGGUGAAACAGGUAGACGCAGGGGACUCAAAAUCCCCCGCCGCAAGGCGUGUCGGUUCGAGUCCGACCCCGGGCACCAGAU